UUUUGGACAAUGGGGGCAACCCUGAUCCAGCAAUGCCGCGUGAGUGAAGAAGGCCUUCGGGUUGUAAAGCUCUUUUGUCAGGGAAGAAACACCGGCUCUAACACAGUCCGGGAAUGACGGUACCUGAAGAAUAAGCACCGGCUAACUACGUGCCAGCAGCCGCGGUAAUACGUAGGGUGCGAGCGUUAAUCGGAAUUACUGGGCGUAAAGCGUGCGCAGGCGGUUAUACAAGACAGGCGUGAAAUCCCCGGGCUUAACCUGGGAAUGGCGCCUGUGACUGUAUAGCUAGAGUGUGUCAGAGGGGGGUAGAAUUCCACGUGUAGCAGUGAAAUGCGUAGAUAUGUGGAGGAAUACCAAUGGCGAAGGCAGCCCCCUGGGGUACACUGACGCUCAUGCACGAA
rnacentral:rRNA from 1 species